AGACCUCCAGGGUGAAGGCCCUCGGGUUCCCCCAGUACCCCUCCUCCGGGCCCUUCAAGGCAACCUCAAAGGCCCGUGAGUCCUGCAGGCGGACCGGCUCCAGUCUCAGCGAACAGUCCCCCUCUGAGAUCCGCCCGUGGAGGGAGGUCCGUCUGAGGUACUCCCCGGCCACGUGACGGGGGUCCUCGCUGUUGAAGGCGGUGCUCCUCGAAGGGAAACGGCGUCCUCCUGUGAACUUCAGCCGGACCUCCACCCGGCCCCCGCCCCUCCUGAGGGGAGCAGCCAGGGGGUGAAGGAGCAGGGGACCACCACACAGGACCCGGCCAGCGCCUGGACUCGACCGGGGACGGACGGGACAGGGGAGGAGCCCCCCGCCGCCGUCCAGGAGAGAGCACCCGCUGGGGGGGAGAGAAGGACAACAUGUCUCCUUUUGUCUCCGUUACUUUGAAGUGCCAGUAAACCCAAAGAACAUCUUAGUGUGUGUUAUUUGACCUUCAAUAUCUCCCCACUCCUUCCUAGAAUUCUUAACUCCAACCUCAGAACUCUCAGCGAUUAGAAAACACACAAAACAUCAGAUGAAGGAUCCGGGGCCGGGAGGAGUGCAGUGGAGGCUUUGUGGGCCGAUAUGAAAUAAAAGUAAAAGAAUUUGGUUUUUAAGUAUUUUGUUUGUCUGAAAAUUAAAUGGCAUCGAGCUGCAAUGCACUAAGCUAAGAAAAAAAACUUCAAGUCAUCAUAACAAAAAAUACAUAUGGCGUAACUGAGGGAUUGUUCCCAUUCUAUCAAUUAAGGACGUGACGUCUCUGACACACUAUUAAAAAAUACUGUCUCCAUCAUCGUUUAGUGGACAACACGCAGAUUCCUGAAAGAUCGACUAACCGCCUUGGUGCUCUAACAUAAGUGUAUAGGUUCCUUCACCAUCAGAUUUCUUUAUUUUCUAUCAAGAUUGACAGAAAAUCUUCGGGCUGCCCAGUUAAAAACAUUGUUGUCCGUUAACUAUACCAAAACUGAAAUGCUGAAAUUAUUUUAUGCAGACAUUAUCUGAUUCACUUUCACAUUUACUUUCACCCUUAUUUAUUUUGUUCAUGCAUUAGAUUGAUU
ensembl:lncRNA